rnacentral:rRNA from 1 species
CCAAGGAGUGCAACAUGCGUGCGAGUCUUGGAGUGACAAACUCGUCGGCGCAAUGAAGGUGAAGGCAGGCGUUGGUCUGCUCAGGCGAGAGCCCCCUCGCGGGGCGCAUCGUCGACCGAUCCCGGGCUACGCUGUGGCGGGAUUUGAGUGAGAGCGUGCCUGUUGCGACCCGAAAGAUGGUGAACUAUGCCUGAAUAGGGUGAAGCCAGAGGAAACUCUGGUGGAAGCUCGUAGCGAUUCUGACGUGCAAAUCGAUCGUCAAAUUUGGGUAUAGGGGCGAAAGACUAAUCGAACCAUCUA